rnacentral:misc_RNA from 1 species
CUGUAGUAGUUGAUUUCGCUGAAGCACGCACGCACACACACGCACACAACGCACAAGCUCGUACGCGCCCCCUUGCGCGCUUCCUCUCUCGCACCGCUCAUCAGAAUCGUGUGCGUGCAUUAGCUGAAACGAGUGUCACGCCCUCUUCAUCCCUCUCUCCACUGCUCCGACCUCUCUAACAAGCGGCAGGACCAACACGGCGCCCUGACUCUAUCACUUGAUCGGUCUCUUCUGCCCUUCUUCGUUAGUGCUUGGAGAGUGGAGGGGGUAUGUGCCUGUGUCUGUGGGCGUAUGCGUGCUUGUCUCGUACGACUUGAGGUGACGGUACCGAGUGCCCGACCCCUCCUCUCUUUCUCUCCCUCCUCGCACCAGGGCCCCUUACGGAGAAGAGACAAGGACCGCCUCAGCGAGCGACAGAAAACGAGAGCAAAAAUCCAAAGGACCCGUUGGGACAAUACAGGCGUUGCGACAUGUCGUCCGCUACACCACCGCUGCCUGCCGGCAGCGUGAACGCUUCUGCUGCACUUCGCUUCUCUGUCGACUUCGACCCGUCCCGCGCGGACUCGAAGCCGAGCGUGCUCUUGCUGACCCAGAACAUAGGCGGUAUCGAGGCUGCGUUGGGCACAAGCGCUGGGCUCGGCGAAACCUUGCCCGAACGCCCGCACUCGCCGAUGCCAGAGAACGGCGGUGACAUCUCUGCCGCCUUUGCCUCCGUGCCGACCUUUUUUGGCGGCCCCUCGUACAUUCACGUGCCUGAUGACAUCGACUCAGAGCUGGGCGUCUCGCCUGUGGUGCGGCAGCAGGUGGCAGAGUUUCUGGGGGACCUCCGCCAGUGGCUCCAUCGGCUCUCGUACAUGUCAGCCGCGGCGCGCGCCGCAGAGGCGUCUGCGACGGCGUCGUCUGCUGCUCCCGCCUCGGUCGCGGGUGGCGCAGCGUCCCCUCCUCCCUCGCCCACGCCCUGUGGUGCUGCAGCGAACACGGAGGCUUACAUGCGCAGCUACACGCCGUCUGUACGCCCGCCCCUCAUCGACAUUGUUGUCCUGCACUUUCAAGAAAUCGGUGGCAAAUACAAGAAUAAGCAGUUCAACGAGUACUUCAAGGAGCAGAUCCGCACGUCGCUGCUGCCGGAGGCAGGCUGGACGAGCGGGCUGCUCAUGGACGAGCGAGAGAGCGGUGACACGCUGAGCAGCAGCAACUACCAGCGUCACCGAGCCGCGAGCACUGUGCAAGCCCUGAGAAGGACGUCCUUUGAAGGCAGUAGCUCCAGUAAUAACAACGGCAGCGCCAACGGCCACGCCGGCGAUGCUCAUCGCCUGAGCGACGCGAACAGCAACGACACGGAUCUCACCGCUGAGCUCGACGCCGGCGCGGACGCGUACUUCACCGCCAUUGGCUCGAUUGUGUUUCUCUCGCCGCGCGUUAUGGGCAUCGCGAGCUGCCUCUCCGUUCCGCACCGCACGUAUAUUCCGAUUGUAGACGACCCGCUCACCUACGCCGGCGAGGCCGGCCGGCUCUUUCACAGCGGAAAAUUUGCCGAGGCCGGCCGCUCGCGCAAGGGGUUCCUGCUUCUCUCUCUCCGUCUCGGCACCGUCCACUUUAACGUGUGCAACGUACACCUUUUCAACGACGACGACAACCGCGUGGCGCUAAAGAGCAGCCCAAGCCUGUACACCGGCCGCCGCGCGCGGGCAUUAAAGGAGGCCAUCGCCGAAUGCAGUGCCGUCGUCGACCUCAGCGAGCCGCUCUUCAUCUUUGGCGACUAUAACGUUCGCCUGGAUGGCAAGUCGUUUGCCGAGUGGGUCGAGGAGAAGAUGCAGAUGACGGUGCGGGCGGAGAAGAAGCGGUUGCGCUGCCCGGAGCAAUUUUGGGAGUUGUUCACCGACCCAGCCACGCAGCAAGAGUUGCGAAAGCGGUUCGACAUCGAGCCGCAGCACCUGAUGGACGAGGUGGCUCUGCUCUCUAGCGUGGAGCUCGCAGAGAUGCCGAUUCAGUUCGCGCCCACCUACUCCCGUGUUGCCUAUCGCACCCGCACUGGGGCCACCACCACCAGUGCUGGCGCCGACGCGGCAGCACUUCGAGACGUAGCGGCAACGCCAGAUGCGCAGCAGCAGAUACCCACUUCGAAGGACUUGGCUGGACGGGCUGAUGCCAUCCGUGCCGAGGAGCAGGAGCAGGCAGAGGCGAUCAGGGUGAGGCCCUCGCUGUCGACACCGCUGCCGUCUUCGAUGUCGCCGCUGGCGAGUGUACCGCUGACUCACGUGACGGCAUCACCCCAUCGCGACAACUUCUGCCACGACCGGUUGCCUGCGUGGUGCGAUCGAGUGAUGUUCAAUGUGGCUGGCCUUGAAUGGAUUUCAGGCGAUCGCUCGCGCACCGCUCCGCCGCAGCCGCAUGCAGCAUCUUCAGUGCCGGGUAGCGCUGCCUCCGGUGCUGGCUGUCUCAAGGGCAGGCAACGCAGUGGCCAGAGCUGCUGGUACGCGUACGCCGCGAUCGACCUCAUUCACACGGACCACGACGGCGUAUUUAUGCUAUUUUAAGGAGACACAGUAACGGAUCUGCCCUUGUGGAGGGCAUAUGCGCGCAUGUGCCUGUGCACGUGUGCGCCGCGCACGGAUCGGUGGGAAGGCCAGCGAAGACAGUGCAGAAGUGCGAGGAAGGAAUCCGCAUGGGUGGGUGGGUGAGUGAGUCGGAGGGGUGGUGGUGGAGGCGUUCACGAAGGCGCCAUACUCCCUCUCUCCCUCACAUCAAAACGAAAAAAAAAAAGAUAUAUGGCGCUGCGUGCAGCUACAUGUAUGCGUGCUCGCCCGCUCCGCGUGUGCCGUCGUUCUUGCGCUUGCACGCGUCAUUGCCGCUCUGCGGGAUAGACGGGAGAGACUCUCCGCGUUCAUGAGAGAGGAAGGCAAGGCGAAAAGGUGAUUCGAAGUGACGGCACAUAGCCAGUCACCGGUAACACAAGGGCAAGUGAAGAAGAAGGGAGAGAGCUCCCUGGUGCGCCUCAUCGUGUUCCUCGCGCAGGACGCACACGCACGCGCACACGCCCCACUGCGCACGUGCAACGCAGCUUGCUGAGAGGGACAGAAAACGCGGACGCAUGGCUGCUUGGCGCCGGGUGCCCUCCUCUCAAUGCAACGGCCUUUUCUGCUCCUUUCUGUGUGUACGUUGAUUUGUGUGCGCUCGAUCUGCUUACUUUGCUGCCGCUGCUGCUGCUGCUGCUGCUGCUGCUGCUGCUGCUUAUGUGCCUCGCUCUGUUCAACUUUUUUUUUUUGCGCUCUAUCCUCAUCUCUCUUUCUUCUUGAAACCAG